ACCGGUUCUGUGCUGAUCCAGCUUGUGCGAUCCCAUGCACAGAGCCAGGAGCAGCGUACCUCUUGCCAACAUCCUGCCUCCACUCUGCUGCCUUUUCUGCUUUGAUUUCACACUGUCUGCUUUUCCACCAGACCUUUUCUUUCUUUAACCCUCUGCUCUCUUCCAAGAAUGAUCUAGGAAGAGGGGAAAGAAAUAAGAGAAAGGUGUCUGCGUGAAGGGGAGAUGAGGAGGCAGAAAAGGAGAGAGAGAGGGGAGAGGACUAGAGAAGACUGGAGUUAGGCUGCAACACGAGAGGCAAAGCAACGAGGAGAGGGAGAAAGAAGAGAGCAACAGGGAUCGAGGGAUGAUCGAGGUGGAGUCGGGCCGAAAACGCAGGAAAAGGAGGGAAAAAUUGCCAGACUCAUCCGACCUCUGCUGUGUGGGGACCGGACCCAUCACCUGACUGCCCUCUCCUGUCUUCCUGGUCCUCAGCAGAACAGCCAUGAGAUUGAUGGAGGGAGAAGACAGAGGCGGAGGGGACUGUGCUGGUGGCGUUGGGGGAGGUAGAGUCGGACAUUUUGGAAAAUUGUAUCCAGCGACAUCUUGCUAAGAUGGAUGCAAAGGCUUCUCUCUUCACCCUUCCACAUCCUCCUUUAACCCUGCACGACCAUCAUGUCCUGUGUCCCCAUCUCACCCUGUGAGUGAGAGCACAGCUCCUGUCCUUCAUUUGAACCACUGUCAGACUAACAAAGGCAACAUCUACCUGUAAUUGCCAGUGAAGACUGGGAGACAGUGGCUCAACCAGUAGGAGUUAGAAGAGAGAAAAGGGAGAAUUGCUCUUUAAGUCCUCAUAAGCAGAUGUAGCCAUUCUUGGCCAGUAGCUGGUUGCCCCUGCAACAUAGAGUUGUUAAAUUGCAGAGCAGACCCACACCAUCAGGCUGGAGAUUGUCAAGUGUUACAUAGUGGUAUAUUAAGUGUAGGGGAAUUAUACUGACUGGGACUAUUUUAUUCUGAUUGACACAGCUCAGUGGACUGCCUAGGAGGUCCGUAGAGGCAAACGUCUCUAAAGAGCUAUUAGAGAAAUGAUUCAGAGCCGAGGUUAUUAAGAGAGUAUAUUACAUAUUAACAGAAUAUAUUAGGUAUGAAUACACACACUGUCAAUCAGUAUAUAUCUAGAAGGUAUGUAUUAUAUUGUAUGUUACACCGCAGCCUUGUUGAAUACUUGUUUCUGAUUGGCGAGAAUGGACAUUAACAAGUUCUUAUACAGAAUGUCUGGAAUGUAUAUUCAUUAUAUUACAUGUUUCAUAUUGAUCAGAUUUGCUGCGUUUCUGCCGCAAACCCAACACAGUAGCCGGCCGGUUGCCUUAGAAAU